rnacentral:misc_RNA from 1 species
UUUCCGUAGGUGAACCUGCGGAAGGAUCAUUAUCAUGUAAUUCAGUCCCCUUGGCUGUGUUAUAUAUACCCACUCUGUGUACCUUCUCCUGUUGCUUCCGCUGGGUGUGUAAUUCGCCCGGCGGAAGGGUAAAAAUAACCUCUGAGUAUUGAUGAAAUCUCUGUCUGAACCGAAUAGAAAGAAAAAUGUUAAAACUUUCAGCAACGGAUCUCUUGGUUCUC